AAACCAGCACCUCAAGUGGUCAGGAGGAUUAUUGGGCCUAAAGCAUCCGUAGCCUGCUGCAUAAGUUUUCGGUUAAAUCCAUACGCUCAACGUAUGGGCUGCCGGGAAUACUGUGCAGCUAGGGAGUGGGAGAGGUAGACGGUACUCGAUAGGAAGGGGUAAAAUCCUUUGAUCUAUUGAUGACCACCUGUGGCGAAGGCGGUCUACCAGAACACGUUCGACGGUGAGGGAUGAAAGCUGGGGGAGCAAACCGGAUUAGAUACCCGUGUAGUCC
rnacentral:rRNA from 1 species